rnacentral:rRNA from 1 species
AGUGAACGCUGGCGAUAGGCCUAACACAUGCAAGUCGAACGGCAGCACAGUAAGAGCUUGCUCUUACGGGUGGCGAGUGGCGGACGGGUGAGGAAUACAUCGGAACCUACUUUUUCGUGGGGGAUAACGUAGGGAAACUUACGCUAAUACCGCAUACGACCUACGGGUGAAAGCAGGGGAUCUUCGGACCUUGCGCGAUUGAAUGAGCCGAUGUCGGAUUAGCUAGUUGGCGGGGUAAAGGCCCACCAAGGCGACGAUCCGUAGCUGGUCUGAGAGGAUGAUCAGCCACACUGGAACUGAGACACGGUCCAGACUCCUACGGGAGGCAGCAGUGGGGAAUAUUGGACAAUGGGCGCAAGCCUGAUCCAGCCAUACCGCGUGGGUGAAGAAGGCCUUCGGGUUGUAAAGCCCUUUUGUUGGGAAAGAAAAGCAGCAGGUUAAUACCCCGCUGUUCUGACGGUGCCCAAAGAAUAAGCACCGGCUAACUUCGUG